rnacentral:misc_RNA from 1 species
UACGGAGGGUGCAAGCGUUGUUCGGAAUCAUUGGGCGUAAAGCGCGCGCAGGCGGUCUGGGAAGUCUAUGGGUGAAAUGCCGGGGCUCAACUCCGUGCCCGCCCAAGAUACUCCCAGGCAAGAGACAUGUAGAGGCUGGCGGAAUUCCGGGUGUAGCGGUGGAAUGCGUAGAGAUCCGGAAGAACACCAGAGGCGAAGGCGGCCAGCUGGGCAUGAUCUGACGCUGAGGCGCGAAAGCGUGGGUAGCAAACAGG